GAUCCUGGCUCAGGAUGAACGCUAGCUACAGGCUUAACACAUGCAAGUCGAGGGGAAACGACAUCGAAAGCUUGCUUUUGACGGGCGUCGACCGGCGCACGGGUGAGUAACGCGUAUCCAACCUGCCCACCACUUGGGGAUAACCUUGCGAAAGUAAGACUAAUACCCAAUGAUAUCUCUAGAAGACAUCUGAAAAGAGAUUAAAGAUUCAUCGGUGAUGGAUGGGGAUGCGU
rnacentral:rRNA from 1 species